rnacentral:guide_RNA from 1 species
UAAAACACAAUCCGAAGAGUAGAAAUAGACAGUAUAAGAUAAAAUU